GUAGGUGGCAAGCGUUGUCCGGAAUUAUUGGGCGUAAAGCGCGCGCAGGCGGUCCUUUAAGUCUGAUGUGAAAGCCCACGGCUCAACCGUGGAGGGUCAUUGGAAACUGGGGGACUUGAGUACAGAAGAGGAAAGCGGAAUUCCAAGUGUAGCGGUGAAAUGCGUAGAGAUUUGGAGGAACACCAGUGGCGAAGGCGGCUUUCUGGUCUGUAACUGACGCUGAGGCGCGAAAGCGUGGGGAGCAAACAGGAUUAGAUACCCUGGUAGUCCAUGCCGUAAACGAUGAGUGCUAAGUGUUAGGGGGUUUCCCGCCCCUUAGUGCUGCAGCUAACGCAUUAAGCACUCCGCCUGGGGAUACGGCCGCAAGGCUG
rnacentral:rRNA from 1 species